CCUACGGGAGGCAGCAGUGGGGAAUUUUGGACAAUGGACGCAAGUCUGAUCCAGCCAUGCCGCGUGCGGGAAGAAGGCCUUCGGGUUGUAAACCGCUUUUGUCAGGGAAGAAACGAGUUUCUCUAAUACAGAGACUUAAUGACGGUACCUGAAGAAUAAGCACCGGCUAACUACGUGCCAGCAGCCGCGGUAAUACGUAGGGUGCAAGCGUUAAUCGGAAUUACUGGGCGUAAAGCGUGCGCAGGCGGUUAUGCAAGACAGAUGUGAAAUCCCCGGGCUCAACCUGGGAACUGCAUUUGUGACUGCAUGGCUAGAGUACGGUAGAGGGGGAUGGAAUUCCGCGUGUAGCAGUGAAAUGCGUAGAUAUGCGGAGGAACACCGAUGGCGAAGGCAAUCCCCUGGACCUGUACUGACGCUCAUGCACGAAAGCGUGGGGAGCAAACAGGAUUAGAUACCCUGGUAGUCCACGCCCUAAACGAUGUCAACUGGUUGUUGGGAGGGUUUCUUCUCAGUAACGAAGCUAACGCGUGAAGUUGACCGCCUGGGGAGGUACGGCCGCGAGUAGAACGUACAAAGUAGAAGUUAGUACGGCGUGAGACGUAGACCGACGGACGACCGACGAGGGGAGGUUAGGG
rnacentral:rRNA from 1 species